AGUGGAGUAGAGGUCUCAUAAUCAGGGAGGAAGAGCAACUUUGUGUUAAGUUUUCAAUGAAGAUUACUUCACUUCCUGAAUGUCCUCUUGUGGAUCAUGGAUCCUUUUUCACAUGGUGAAACAUCAGAAUUUCACUAGAAGUGCUGCCCUGCUUUAGCAAAGUGAGGGUUCUGAGUAAUCCAUAGCUUCUGAGUACAUAGUACAGGACUACUGACUUCACUGUUGUCCAGUAGAUGGCUACAAGAAGGUCCUUGUUCAAGAGCGCAGUAUGCAGGAAUAUUACUGGAAAGUAAAGUGAAAAACAAAGGUGAAUAAGAAACAGAAAAAAACACAUAUUUGAGAGAACUAGUUGUAUAUUAAAGAGUGUUAAAUUUUUUUUAGUCUUAUAAAAAAAUCUAAAUCACCUAAUCAUCAAAAUCAACAGAAAUUAUGUCACUAUGUGUAAGGGCCAGUCUUCAAGCUAAAUUCUCUACACGGUCAUGCUAAGCAGCAUUUUAAUUAAAUGCAUUCGCCAAUUCCUUUAAACAUUUUUUUUUUUUUUUCCACACAAGCAACAUUGGUUUUUACAAGUCAGACUUAAGUGUAGUGACAGCAAUGGUGUCAGAAGGUUUACAACCAGCACAACCAUCAGCCUCUCGAGCUGUCAUGCUUUGGAACGCAGCGCGGCGUCGGGGCACUCUGAGGUUAACGGUGUGGUGUCACACCGUUAAAUUCAAUCGGCCUUUUAUUGCCUUUUUUCUUAUCUGUCCCCAAGGGCAGACCAGACUAAGGCUAUGAGAGAUCUCUGAAGAAGAGAGACCGAAUCAUGUCCCAGACUGCGCUUGCACGUAAAAUGUGGCUGGCAGAUUAGUGUUGAUAUAUAUUUUUGCUGAUGGACUUAAGUCUUGCAUACCUACACUUUUCUUUUUUUUUUCUUUUUUUUUACUGGCCAUACAGCCUGAAUAGGAAUACAUGUUUUUUUUAUUUAGUUUUUUUUUUUGUUUGUUUUUUAAAGCACAUGUUUAGGUAGUGGGGAAGGACAUCACUUUCCCCAAACACAGGAUUAGUUUGAGUGUAGACGACGUCUAACUGACGUCAACUGCAAUGCUACAGGCAAUGAGAAGAGGGCAGGAAUAUACAAAAAAAAAAAAACACUUAAACUGAAAGAAAAUGAAAAAAAGAAAUGUGAAGACGAGGGAUGGAAGGUGUGGAAUUAAAAAGACAUGCACAUUUUGUGCAGAAGUGGAUAAACUGUGUUCAUGUUUAAAAGGUAUAUUUCUCUGUGCGUGUAAUCUGAAACAGGUCUGGUAUCUUUAGAGAUUAAUCCAACUCCAGCUUUAGACGUCACUCUCUAAUCCAUCAGAGUUAAAACAAGCUGCUCUCUGUAACCGGCUCUUGACCACAGCCAACUGCAAACUCUAUUUGUAAAAAACACCAUAUGUACAGCGAGAAUAGAUUUGGGAAUACUACAAAUCGUAGACAAACCAGUCACUAUUCACAGUUUGGUUUGUUGAAAAACUCUUACUUGUUAACGUAAAAUAAUCCUUUUUAACCGCACAGAUUUUAGUCUUGCGUUUAGAUUUACACUCAAAAAGGCUGCUGCGUGAUGAAGUGGACAGCCCAAGAGCGAGGUGAAAAAGACAUGGAGAGCAACAACGAAAGAGGAGAUGAAGAAGUGUGUGGGAGGCCAGGGAUGCCCUGCAGGAUAUUAUCAGAGGGCACGCACAAUAAAACAUCAUCGCACCUGACCCACAUGAACACAACCAUCUCCCCAAUGUGCACCGUGCGCGUAGAGCACAAAACCAGCCCAAUGCACCUGAUCCACACGAAUACAAGCCACAUGUGCACACCGUACACACCACACAGGAACAUAAAUGUUGUAUCGCACACCUGACGUUAAGUUUCCGACCCACACAAAUACGGUAUGCAUGGCAUACCAAGACACUCCGUCUGACCGACACAAGGCCCAAUGCGUGCACACUUUCAUACCUACAUAGGGUAUUUGUUACAAAUUUCUUUGAAUAACGGAGGCAAACAAAGCAUAUACCUAUCUGAAGUAAACUCUUCUGCCGCCUCAGGUCCUAUGUCUGUGACAUCCAGAAGCAGAUGGAGUUGAGAUAUUUUCUCCAUUUCUACUUUGUUUUGAAAAAAAGAUUUCAAUGAGAUUUAACUGCUUUAAAAAGUCAGUUUACUCAUUUUUAAUUGGCUUCACUACACAGUCACAUUUAGUUUACAGAAAAAGCACCAGGUCUCAAAUGAACAAACGUAAACAAAGCAUUUAAUUUUUUGUUUAGGAUGCAUGAAUGCCCCCAAUCUAUAGAUGCAAACGUUUUGACUCAAAAGCCUAUAUUUUAACAGGAAAAAUAAUAAAAUGUCAAAUAUUUUAUUAAUUAAUAAAAAAAAAAAUAAAUAAAAAAAAAAGGAAAACCUCAAGGUACGGACAAUGUGGACAUCUGCAGCUUAUAGACAAGAGUAAUUUUUUGGGGGGCGUCAAAGUUGGCUUAUAUUCAGGUGCGUUCAAUAGUCUGGAAAAAAGAUCCCAAAUAAGAUCUGAAUAUUUAAAAUCAUAAAUCUGUUAAUAAAUCAAUUCUCUAUAUACAUUUCUUAUAAUCACCCUACAGUUUUUCUGAACAAUCUUUUUCAACCACAGUUAAAUAUCCCUUCUCAAGUCUUUUUUUUUUUUUUAAUUUGACCCUUUUUCUUUUCUGUAGCCAUCUCCCCCUGACCAGCGUCUUCUGUUUUUCUUUGUCCUCUCUCCUCCAAUUACCUUCAACCACCUCACCUCACUCCGACCAUCCCAUCGCCCUGCUGCCCCCGAGCUGUGUUGCGUGCUGCGCCGUGUUGUCAUGAGACUGUCCAUCUUCAGACCGCUGUGUGUUUUACACAACAUGGUAAAUGGCCUGUACUUCCAAAGCGCUUUAUCAAGUCCAGAGGACCCCAAAGCGCUUCACACUCCACGCGCAGUCAUUCACCCAUUCACACCCCGAUGGUCCGAUGGUGGCAGGCUGCAGGAGCUUCUUAAGACACCGGCCAAUUUUAAGGUAUCAAAUUUUUUUUAAGUCACAUUUGAUAUACAGAGCAUUUUUACCAAAGGCAACAAUUACUUGAUUGUACUAUGAAAUGGCCCUGUGUCUUCAAAGUACAUAACACUGCUCCUUUCAGCUUAAGGUGCAGUGUUUUUUGAUUACCGUUUUUUUUUUCUUCUUCUUCUUUUUCAAAGUUGGCAUAGUUUAGAAAAAGACAGCAUUUAUCUUAUGCAUAUUUAUGGAUUGGAUACAAGUAUCAUUUUAUAGCAAGAUUAAAACAUUGCGGAAUUUCAAAACUGCUGAAAAUUUUUCAUCUUACCAUGUCAACAGUUAAAAUGGCUGCCUGAGAAACAGGCCCCCACUCUUUUCCACUGCUUGCAAGUAAAAAAGGCCGACAGUUUGGCAACAUUUGUGUAAGCUAAAGAAGUGCCACCUCUCCCUCUUAUGGAUGCAACAGUUUUAAACCAGCAGCUGGAGAGCUAAUAUGGCAGCUCUAUUAAACAAUUGACUACAGGCUCUACCAGUGCAGAUAGCCUUACUAACCGAUUAAUACAAGCCCGAUAAAUGCUUUACUCUCUAAUGUCCACAACUUUUAGAUGCAUCUCUGGUCUAACCCUUGAAUAAUUUCCUCCGUAUGCAGUCAAGUUCUCUGAAGUGAUACUAAUGAUCCAGUUAUUUAUGUAUUUAAGUAGACAGAUUUAAAGUUGCAGGACACCGGCCCUGGAGGAUCGGAGUUUGACAUCUAUUAAAAAGAGGGAAGAUUAAACGGUAAAAUAUUCUACAUAAUAUGGACCUGAAAGCUACUAAUACAUUCAGUAAGAUUUUAUUCUGUGUUUUGACUGUGUAUCAAAAAUAAAAAUAACUAUAUGUAAAAAUAAGAAUCAAUAGUAUUUUGUUAUCAGCAACAGUAACUCUUGCUUUUCUGACUAAAAUAAAAGCAAUAUGGCAUUGCUAUACAUCUUAGAUUUAGUCAUUUGUUUUUAUUAAAAUAUUGUUAUGAAGUUACUUCUGAGUUUCCCCUCUUGUAUAACUGCUGAUUUAGCUGCAUGCACAAUUUCAUAUGAACCAACAUCUCAUGCAGAAAAAACAUCUAUGAUGACUAUCGGUACGUGUGAGUGACUGAUGCUGGAGUCAGAGUCAUUAAGUCAGUCACUGCACUUUAGAAAUCUUUCACUGGCUUUGAGUUUUUAACAUUACUGACACAAAGUCAAACAUUUUUGACUAAAGUAAAAACAGCAAAACUUAAUGCACUUACAUUUGAUCUUCGUUUAUGUUAUGAACCAAUUCUUGCAUAGGAAAGAAUCAACAGCAUAGGAAGACAAAAUGCAGAUUUGUGUCUAAACUACAAACAAUUCAAUGUGCAACUCUCUUUUACCCAAGACUAUUUCCUUUCACCAUGGGAACUAUUUCUGAAACUAAGACUCUGUGGUUUGAAACCACAGAGUCUUAGUAUGGUGCCUAGUUUUUUGUUUUUGUUUUUUUAUCCCAUUUUUUAUAUGGAUUAAACUCUAUUUUAACUUUAUCUUUUAUUCCCAUUUCCUACCUCCCUUCAUUCUAAAUCACAUUCAAACCAACCACCUCCCAUCCUGCCUGUUUAUGCCUGCCUCUCAUUUAUGUUUUAUUUCAUGCCUUGCCAAA